CCUGUGCUCCCCCGAGGUGCAGCUAGACCGUGCGCUGUUUGACUCCCAGCUGUUUACGCACUGGUGGCUUUUUAAAAUCGACUUCAUGAAGAGGGCGUCCCUGCUGGGGCCCGGGAGGGGCCUGCUAUGCUCCGUCCCCAAGCCGUGUUCUCAGGGCCCAUCUGACUUGUGUCCAUGGCAUGGUCACCACGCACUGGCCUCUUGGCCAUCUUGCCUGUUUCCCUAAUGACUCCACAGACCCGUGAUCCGCCCAUUCUGUUCUCCUGGCCCUGUGUUUCCUACUUUAAUGUGGACCCUUUCCUGGUUUGCGUGACCCCCACCCGAGAGCGCCGGGCCUGCUUCUCAUCUGGCUCCUACAUGGGCCAGACUUGGAGGUUCUACUGUCCAGCGGAGUUUCCAUGUGGGCAGGUGGAGGCCUGGGGAUCCCCUGGGCACCCAGAGCCAUUCUCUUUGGUGACCCUGUGCCUGGGCGUUGCUGGUUCCACGUGGAGAUGAGAGAGGGCUUCGGGGACAGCUCCCCAUGGCGCUCUGCUGUGCAGCUGGCCCCAGCUCAUCGGGAUGUCCCCGGCUAGUGUCUACAGUGGAUUCACGGUCACACUCAUUUUACCAUCGGGGACCUGGAGGCAGACGGGCGGGGUGGGCCCCCUCUCUGCAGAGCCGGCAUGACACCGGCAUGACACCAGCAUGACACCGACGGUCCCACGGCUGGCCCCGCCUUCCUUGGCCUCCCGUGCCCCCCACGCCUCCUGCUUCCGGGUGUGGGUCUCCUAAUGGUCUUGCAUUCUCUGAUCCCGAGGAGGCCUUGGUGGACGCUCCUUGUUCCUGAAGAUCCAGCCUCCGAGACUCAGGGAGCAGGAGAGGCCAGCAGGACGCGGCACGUGGCAGGAGGCUCCUGUGCCCUGGGGCGGAGGCCAGCGCCCCUCAGAGUCCUCUUGAGUGUGGGGGUGUGGACAGGGCCCCUUGCCCCACUCAGGCGCAGGGGAGUGUGGCUCGGAAGGCUGGACGGGCUGGGCGCUUCCUGCAGGGUCUGUUGGUCUGUGCUGCCUUGCUAGGCCAGGAGCGGCUCAGCUUGGCUUCAGCCUGCACUGACCAAGCCCUCGGGGUCUGUGACUGCAGCCCCCGCCCCUUACUGACGCAUGUGCCGCACCUUAGAAACUUCUGCACAAUUGCUAUUUUGUAUCCUUCACAGGACCCAACUGCGUUCUUGGCUGAAGGAGGAGAGAUGUGUCCAAGACAUCCCAGCCUCCCAAAUUCCCCAGAUUAAGAAGGGCUCAAUAUCAUGGCAUCAUCAUUAUUUUCUGUACUGGGAAUUUUGAACCCAGCAUUGCUGAACCACUGAGCCACAUCCCCAGUCCUUUUUGAAAUUUUUAAUUUUGAGACAGCCUCUCACUAAGUUGCUUAGGGCCUUGCUAAAGUUACGAGGCUGGCUUUGAACUGGCGAUCCUCCUGCCUCAGUCUCCUGGGAUGAGAGGCGCAUGCCUCUGUGCCCGGCUCGACAUAUUUUUGGCCUAAGUAUAUACUGAAAAUUAAUUUUGGUGACUAUCCCGUUGGUAAAAUCAGGUUGUUCACUUCAUUAGAUGUAACCUGAUAGGUAUGUUUAGAUACCUGUCGAGGGUUAUGGAAGUGUGCUGGCGUCACACUGGAGGUGGGGAUGCUGAGACGGCUGAGCUCUGCUGGCCAUGGAGGGCUUGCCGGGUACGAGGUCCCCUGCCGAGGCUCCUCUGUUGGUGUGGUUGGUCCCGUGGUUUUCUCAUUGCACUGAUGUUGGAGAAGUUGAAUCCAGAGCCAUGAAGUGAGGAGUCCAAGUCCAAGUUUGGUCCCAGGGUCAGAGCCCCCCUGAGCAAGGACCAGUGGACCGGGAGUCUGUGAGGCACCUCGCCUUGUCCUGGGGGCCCUCUCUCUGUGGUUUUCCGUCUUCUGUGCAAGUCUUUCCUGCAGACAGGGCUGGGGAACCCUUCCUGUGCCUUCCUCCGUGGACCCUCUUGAAACACACUGGAGACCCCGUGGCCCAGCCGCCUCGAUACCCAAGUGACGUUGGAAGUGUCCCAAGGUGCAAAGUGCACAACCCACCGUGGAGGGAGACGUGUGGGAGCGGAGGGCAUGGAAGGGGUUAUUUUCUGUCUUACUCUUCAAAGGACUGUGGAGUCACAGGGAGUGGCAAAGACAGAGUGUAAGGUCGCUUGAGCCCUCCCUCCUGCUCUCCACAUGGUGACAUCCUAGGUUUACUGCCGUAAAAUAGCGAGACCAGGAAGUCGACACGGGAACAGCGCUGGGCUCCAGCCUCGCACAGAUUUCACCAGUCCAUGUGCGUGUUCUGUGCACGUCACCUCUGGAGAUCCGCGUAGCACCACCAUCGUCAGAGGGAGCUCCCUGGUGCCGUCGUGGAGGAGAUUAAAAACGGUUUACUUCACUAGUAUGGCAGUGUGUAUAAACGUGGAUGUGUAACCAAUGUGAAUCUGCAAUCUGUACACGGGGUAAAAAUGGGAGUUCAUAACCCACUUGAAUCAAAUGUAUGAAAUAUGAUAUGUCAAGAGCAUUGUAAUGUUUUGAACAACUAAUAAAACAAC
rnacentral:lncRNA from 1 species